GCUGGAACAUCUGUCUUCUCCUGUUCUCAGACAUCAGUGCUCUGUGUUCUCAAGCCUUCAGACUCCAUCUGUGACUUACACCAUCCCCACCCUCCCACUCUCCCCCACUGGCCACAAUGCCAGUCCUCAGGCCUUUGGACUUAGACUGAGUUUCACCUCCAACUCUUUCUUGUUUCUUCAGCUCAUAGACAGCCUAUUAUGGAACUUCUUGACCUCCACAAUCAUCUUCCAUAAGUCAGGAUUCCAGUCACAGCUUAGCUGGAUCCUCUCAGAAGGCUACGAUCAAGGUGUCAGCCAGACUGAGUUCUCAUCAGAGGCUCGACUAGGAGAGGAUCUGCUUCCAAGUUCCCUCAGGUUGUUGGAAGGAUUCAUUUUCUUGUGGCUAAGCUCACAGGAGCUUUCUUCUUCAAGGGCAUCAGGAGAGUGGAGAGCGAGUCUACUCAAAGACUUCUAUACAAAUCAUAAGGUCAAACUCCCAAGAGUUUGAGGUCGAAUUUGAUGGAACACCCAGAUGUCCUCAGCUGCCAUGGAGAAUACUUACCAUAUUUGCUUGCAUAUUUUCCCUAUUAUACUGGCAGACACUUUUAGUUGUUAACAUAGAGGAAAGAGGUGAAUUAAGGAGGUAACCUAUUAAUCACUGUAGCUUGGGGCCAAUAUCAACUUUGAUGUAACCCAAGGCUUUCGGCUUUAUUAUAUUUUUUUUCAGAAAGAAGCCAUUGUUUCACAUGUGGCUAAUAAAAUAAUAAUAAUAAAGAUAGUAAUAAUAGAAGAAAAAGAGCUGACACUCACUGAGCACCUACUAUCCCCACUAUACAAGCAUACACACACACACACACACACACACACACACAUUUUGCCUCUUGUCUUUAUCGCUGUCAUCACCUCAUCACACACUUAUUCUCCUCUCUUCUGGUAAAACUAGCAAAGGUACCUGUUGAAGCCUACAGAAGUCUUGGAGAUGCAUUGGUUUGAUGUGAAAUGCCUUCACAGUGUGGAAGUGUGGCUCUAACUAAAGAUUUCUCAGCAUGGUCCAAAUGUUUGCAGCAUUAUGUAGGGGGUCUGGCAAAUGAUGAAAUUGUGCAAAAGGAUCUGCCUGGGGUUGUGGGUGGGGAAGGAUAUUUCCUUUUUAAAGACCUAACUUCUCUCCUAAACAGCAAGAGCAGGAAAUAACAGCCCCGUGAAUUUAAAAAAUAUGAAAAGACUACCAGGACUGGAAACCCUAGCACAUAGCAACUGCCAGUCUAGGGAACUCCCACAGGUCUAGAAACUACUGUUUGCCUCUAGCAAAAAUUAGGAGAAGAAAGUUUCCUUGCCUGUUAUUAAUUGCCAAAACAUAUGUGUCAAACUUUAAUUGAUACAAGAGCUUCUUGGGACAUUUACACAUGAAUGGAGAGAAAAAGGAGGCAAUAUCUAGGGUUUUGCCCUUAAUCGUCUUUUGUAAUUUUCUCAAGUAUAACAAAUGCUGAAUUCUCCAGAGGAAUAAACUCAAAGAUUUAGGAAACUUGGAUACCAACAAGACAUACCUUUUUCAUCUUUGCCAGGUGCUCUAGUUUGGAUGUUUGACUCCCCAAACCUCAUGUGGAAAUGUGAUCCCCAAUGUUGGAGGUGGGGGAAGGUGUUAGGGACAUGGGGACGGAUCCCUCAGGAACAGCAAAACGUCCUCCAGGUCUGAUUGUUAAAGAGAGCCUGGCACACCUCCUCCCCUUCUUGCUCUCUCUCUCUCUCUCUCUCUCUCUCUCCCUCUCUCUCUCUCUCUCCCUCUCCUCUCUCUCUUUCUCCCUUUCUCUCUCCCUCUUCCCCCCUCUCUUACCAUGUGAUUUCCGCUUCCCUUUGCCUUCCACCAUUAGUGGAAGCUUCCUGAGUUUCUCAUCAAAAUAGAUACUGGUGGCAUGCUUCUUGUACAGCUUGCAGAAUAGUACUUAGGGAAAUUUAUUUCCUUUUUUCUUGUUUUCUUUCUUUUUUCUUCCCCUUCCUCUUUCCUCCCUCACUCGCUCACUCCCUAACUCACUCUCUCUCUCUCUCACCUCUUGUUUUAUUGCAAAAUGUGUAUGUUGAGGGAGGUUGGCAUAUAUAAAUAUGAGAUAAACCUAAGAGACAACAUGAAAAGUUUCCUCAAGUAAAAAGCAUGGAAAGGGCCGGGCGCGGUGGCUCACCUGUAAUUCCAGCACUUUGGGAGGCUGAGGCGGGCAGAUCAUGAGGUCAGGAGAUCUAGACCAUCCUGGCUAAUACAAUGAAACCCCGUUUCUACUAAACGUACAAAAAAUUAGCCGGGCAUAGUGGCAGGUGCCUGUAAUCGCAGCUAUUCGGGAGACCGAGGCAGGGAAAUUGCUUGAACCCAGGAGGUGGAGGUUGCAGUGAGCCGAGAUCGCGCCACUGCACUCCAGCCUGGGUGACAGAGCGAGACUCUGUCUCAAAAAAAAAAAAAAAAAAAAAAGCAUGGAAAGAAGAAUGCUAACAGGAUUUAAGAGAGGGGAGGAUAAGAGGGAAGGAGAAACACCAAAAGCUUCAUGAGUACCUUUUUUUUUUUUUUAAUUAUACUUUAAGUUUUAGGGUACAUGUGCACAUUGUGCAGGUUAGUUACAUAUGUAUACAUGUGCCAUGCUGGUGUGCUGCACCCACUAACUCGUCAUCUAGCAUUAGGUAUAUCUCCCGAUGCUAACCCUCCCCCCUUCCCCCACCCCACAACAGUACCCAGAGUGUGAUAUUCC
rnacentral:lncRNA from 10 species